UAUCGGUGAAGAGAGAAAAUAACAUGUGUGUACGGUGCAUAGAUGUAUAAUAACAAUUAGAUGAAUAAUUAGAUAAUUGGAAGGAAUGAAUAACAGUGCUGCUUGUGAAGAGUAUUGAACAGCACCUCCAACCAAAGCGAACCCGAGAGAUGAAGCCAAGGCAGCAGCUUGCAUGGCAGGAUCACCUCUAUAGAGGAGGAGGAAGGGAGACAUGAAUCCACGGCAACAAUACCAGCCAACCCGCCCAGGAUGCCGGGCAUGCCGUGCAGAUUGUGGACACCACAGGUAUCCUGGAUGCCCAGGUUGGAUGCCAGGAUAGGCUACAGAAAAGGAAAAAAGGCAUCUUGUUACAACCAAAGGAUUGACUUUCUAAAAAGGAUAUGAAAGGGAAAAAUAUGCAUUUUGAUUUAAAAAUUAAGAUGGCAUGAAGUUCAGUCUUCAUAUCACCAAAAUAUACUGGAUUCCAUCUAUACAAAUGAAAAAUUUUGGCUAAUAAACAUGUUUGAGUUGAGUAUCAAA